UACGUAGGGUGCGAGCGUUAAUCGGAAUUACUGGGCGUAAAGAGUGCGUAGGCGGUUCUUGAAGUCCGCUGUGAAAGCCCCGGGCUUAACCUGGAAUGGCAGUGGAAACUGGAGGACUUGAAUUGAGCAGAGGGGGUGGAAUGCCGCGUGGUAGCAGUGAAAUGCGUAGAUAUCUGCAGACACCGUGGCGAAGCGGCGCGCUGACACAUACUGACGCUGAGGCACGAAGCUAGGGAGCAACAG
rnacentral:rRNA from 1 species